CUUCUCCCUUUUGUCCAGGGCUGCUGGAGAAUUCCAGAGAGCAAGCAGGGAGAGCCAGUGAAUUCAACUCUGCCAAGGCUGGCCCCAAACCCUGCCGAGCUGAGGGGUGGUCUGGCGGCAUUACCAGAGCGCCAUCCUCCAUCUGCCAUCCAUACCAAACGCGUGGACGUUCCAGAAGAGGCCAUCUCGAGGGUUCUGCCUACUGCCUGGCUCUCCCAAUACGGACGCCCCUUCCCCUUCCCAUUACUGUCCAGAGGCUGUACCCCCUGCUCUGGAACCCCGCCUUCUUACCUGCUAAGCUCAUAGUGACCCAGUUGCCCAGUGAGUCCCUUCCCCCACUGUGUGCUUACCCACCAUUGGCUGCUCCUGUACAAAGCCGUGAGUGAGGUGUGUGUGUUAAGGAGGGCAAGUAGAGGCCCUUACUACCUACCUGGUCAGCCACCUCUACAUCCUGGCCACUUCUUGUGAGCUUCUGCACCAACCUAGGCUAUGUUAGCUGCUUUCCUACCCACCCGGUGUUGUGAAUUCCUGCUCAACUUUCCUGGUAUCCAUCCAGGCCAGCCUUGUUCUCCUGCAGAGGGGUGUGUGUGUGUGUGUGUGUGUGUGUGUGUGUGUGUGUGUGUGUGUGUGUGUGUUCUAACCUGCUUGGGUAGAGGGUGUGUGUGUGUGUGUGUGUGUGUGUGUGUGUGUGUGUGUUCUAACCUG
rnacentral:lncRNA from 1 species